rnacentral:rRNA from 1 species
GACGAACGCUGGCGGCGUGCUUAACACAUGCAAGUCGAACGGUGAAGCGCCUUCCUUUUUGGUGGGUGUGGAUGAGUGGCGAACGGGUGAGUAACACGUGAGUAACCUGCCCCCUUCUUCUGGAUAACCGCAUGAAAGUGUGGCUAAUACGGGAUAUUCUGGGUCUGUCGCAUGAUGGGUCUGGGAAAGAUAUUGUUUCGGUGGGGGAUGGGCUCGCGGCCUAUCAGCUUGUUGGUGGGGUGAUGGCCUACCAAGGCGGUGACGGGUAGCCGGCCUGAGAGGGUGGACGGUCACACUGGGACUGAGACACGGCCCAGACUCCUACGGGAGGCAGCAGUGGGGAAUAUUGCACAAGGGGCACAAGCCUGAUGCAGCGACGCCGCGUGAGGGAUGGAGGCCUUCGGGUUGUGAACCUCUUUCGCCAGUGAAGCAGGCCUGCCUCGUUUGUGGGUGGGUUGACGGUAGCUGGAUAAGAAGCGCCGGCUAACUACGU